ensembl:lncRNA
GGGGGGACGGCGCUGGAAAUACUAGUGCCGAGUGAGGUGAGAGCGCGGCGGCGGCAGCAGCCGGCUCCGGGCCUCACGGCCCCGCCUCGGCCCGGCGCGGGGGUGUCUCUGGCCGCGGCUCCAAGCUGCGGAGCCGGCAGGGCCGGGGGGCAGGUGCGCCUCAGGGGUGCACUCGCCCUCUCAACGCGGCCGGGCCGGGCCCGGCCCAGGGACUCGCUCCUCUCCGAGACCUCUCCCGCCAGACUCUGCCCUUCGCACUCCGGCCGCCGACGUGAACGACCGACAGCUGCCCUCAGCGUACGCCCGCCGCCGCCCCCCUGUCCUCCGGUACUGACGUGGCCCCGCUGGCCACGACCCUACUCCUGUUCCUCCUUAAAGUUCCGCGGGGGGAAACUCACCUCCCGUUCGGCGUCUGCCGCCUCCAUCCGUACCCGGGCGGCAGCAGCCCUUCACAAAACUGAAACUCUGCAGGCUACGCUCCUCGGGAUCGGCCUGGCGCGGCCGGGAGAGGUGCCACCCCGCCGCUGCGCUCCCAGGCGGGCAGCCGGAGCUCGCAUUGGCGCGGCGGGGGGCGGGGAGGGCCGCAGGUGCAUCAGGGACCGGCCGCGGCCUCUCGCUGUGCGCAGGCGGGGGGCGGCGGCGGCCCGGCCGGGCCUGCUCGGGAGGAGCUCGGCGUGGCCUCGGGUGGAUCCCGUCUGCUUAGUUUCUCUCUGGAAAACUGAUCGUACUGGGGCUGCUGGCACACAAAUGGGGGGGAAGAUGCGAGAAACAGUAGCUGCAGUGCCACAGCGCAGCGGGGUCUUUUCAUCUCAUUCACUGGGGCUAGUCUUAUAUUUAUUUUCUUAUUUUUUUACCUGUACUUAACUGCACUUUUUUUUUCUCUUUUCUAACGUAUGCUAACACAGUAUUCACAGUGCAGGUGAGUGACUCGCCUGGGAAGCUGGUACCACGUAAGGGACAGUGAUCAGUAGAAGGUGGAAGUGGCUUUUUUUAGCUGUAUCAAACAAUACAAGAAUGAGUUUGGCCACAGCAGUGAGCUAGCAGUGAGCAUUGAAAUCCAGGUCGUGAGGAAAGAGAAAAGCAAACCUCUUCAGUUUUUGUCCCCUAGGUUGCAAAAUUCAGCCAGAAUCUAUGUAUAUACACUGGAAAUCAGGAACAAAUUCACAUGGUGGUUAAACGUCAGUUACCCAGUCAAAACAAACCAAAGUACCAAAAUUAAUUGUUUGCCAUAUACCACUUUACCUGAUAAUCUUAUUUUUAGAGGUGACAGUGCAACACUGUCCGCCUUUCCUUGCAUGCCUCUGACAGCACUGUUUCUUGUGCAGUUAUGUCCAGUAAGGUUCACCUUCACUCUCUCUUUACAUUUUGAUAUUUAAAACAUCCCUGUAGCAUUCAUAAUCCCAUUUUGUAUUGUAUAUAUUUCCUUAGAAAAGUGGGUUUUAUGCAGUUUUGAAUUACGGGAAUAUUUGGGAAUGAAAGCUUUGAAAUUUUUAAAGACAAUGGAAGUAUUCUAGUUAUUUUACUCAUCCAAACCCAAACUUUCUAAGUCCAAGUAAAUUUAAUCAGUACUGUCAUUGGAGCUAGAGGGAGCUGUGACUUUUAUUAAAACAAAACCAAUAACAACAAAAAGGUGGUAUGUUGACCACCAAGGUAUUCCCUGGGUGUUACAUGAAACAACCCAACACACUAACGUCAUCAGAUUCUGCAGUACCAACAACAGAGGCAGAUGAGUAGCAGCUAACCUGAAAUUUUCUCGUUCUCUCUCAUUUAGCAUCCCCCGUAGAAGCAAGGGGACUGUAAAGGGUUUAUUUAAAAGGCUCUUUUUUUCAUUCUUGUUUGUUUUUUUUUUUCUUUUUUUUUAGGAGCUUCAGUGCAGAACAUAACCAAUAACUGCCUUAAUGUUGCAUUAAUGUCAACACAUAAAGAAUCAAUCACAUAAAGAAUUCUUAC